GGAGUAAUGCGUGACCAACCUGCCCCAUGCUCCAGAAUAGCUCUUGGAAACGGGUGGUAAUGCUGGAUGCUCCAACUUGACGCAUGUCUUGCUGGGAAAGUGUUUAGUGGCAUGGGAUGGGGUCGCGUCCUAUCAGCUUGUAGGCGGGGUAAUGGCCCACCUAGGCUUCGACGGGUAGCCGGCCUGAGAGGGCGGACGGCCACAUUGGGACUGAGAUACGGCCCAGACUCCUACGGGAGGCAGCAGCA
rnacentral:rRNA from 1 species